UCGUGAUAGUGCUCCCAUGCUGGAAGGCAGGGAGCAUGAAAUGCUCCGGCGCCACAGGAUGUGGCUGCGGCCGAUUAGGUAGACGGUGGGGUAACGGCCCACCGUGCCGAUAAUCGGUACGGGUCAUGAGAGUGAGAGCCCGGAGACGGACUCUGAGACACGAGUCCGGGCCCUACGGGGCGCAGCAGGCGCGAAACCUUUACACUGCACGCCAGUGCGAUAAGGGGAUUCCGAGUGCGAGGGCAUACAGUCCUCGCUUUUCUGUACCUUAGGGUGGUACAGGAAUAAGAGCUGGGCAAGACCGGUGCCAGCCGCCGCGGUAAUACCGGCAGCUCAAGUGAUGGCCGAUCUUAUUGGGCCUAAAGCGUCCGUAGCUGGCUGGACAGGUCCAUUGGGAAAUCCACCUGCUUAACAGGUGGGCGUCCAGUGGAAACCGUUUAGCUUGGGACCGGGAGACCUGAGGGGUACGUCCAGGGUAGGAGUGAAAUCCUGUAAUCCUGGACGGACCAUCGGUGGCGAAAGCGCCUCAGAAGAACGGAUCCGACAGUGAGGGACGAAAGCUGGGGUCUCGAACCGGAUUAGAUACCCGGGUAGUCCCAGCCGUAAACGAUGCUCGCUAGGUGUGACGUA
rnacentral:rRNA from 1 species